rnacentral:lncRNA from 1 species
GAUCAAAACAACGCCAUAAUACUCCAUCAUAAAUCAUGUUCAUUGACAAAGCAUUGAUCUCUAAAUCCUUCAUAAUCAUUGCGUAUAGUUUUUCUUGGCCUCUAUUUAAGCUACUCUCCUUACUAGGGCUUUUAGCGGUCUCCUCCAUACAUGUCCAAACCACCUAAGGCAGUUCUAACAUCUUAUCUAUAAUUUGAGCCAGUGUUGUGAAAACCGGAUUGUAUUGGCUGGUUCAACUAGAAAACCAAUGAACAAGUCCCCAAACCGGUACAGUACAACAAUUAUACUGGCCAUGCAAUCAUAUCGGGCAAGACUGGCCAAAACCAUUAUACACAGAGCAUAUACAUAUUUAGAUUAAAAUUUAUACCAGUCAUGCAAUUAUUUCUAUAUCAAUGAGGUAAAGGCUAGUGGUUUUACUAAAUUGGGUUACGAGGUGAUCCAAAGAACACAAAACAUAUACAUAUUUACAUUAAAAAUAUGUCAUUCCCACAGACAAAUGACAAAGACCCAUUAGUUGAAGAAAAACCCACUGUUACUAUAGUUUCAGAAGUAUUGGUUAAUCCAUUGAGAUUUAAUUUGUUAUCCUUAGAAGCAGAACCCUAAGAUACCAUAUGGUAAAGUGCUUCCACCCAAACUACAUGUGUGCCUGUGUUUUUAUGCAUGUAUGUUUAUAUAGCUUUCAUGUGAAAGUUCACUUAAUUCUUUUAUUGAUUUACUGUGUUCAUGUAACUUGUAUUUGGCAGUUGAACGGUUCUCUCUCGGAGUAAGAAACCCUACAGCUUUCCUAGCAGGCGCCUUGGUUAGUGAUUGAAAUUGUUUCAUGUGCUAGCAAAAGUAUAUGGUUUGUGUUUAUUAGUGUCCAUGCUUAACUGUUUGUGUUCUCGUUUUUUUGUUUUCGUACAUGGUUAUUGCCUGACGAUAACCGAUUUCUAUUUAUCAUUAAUUUGGUUCUUUAGAGGAAGGAGUAUAACAACUGCUACCUUUUUUCAAAUGCAGGGUAUUUCUCCAGAGUGUUUUUUUGCAGGGGUCUGUUUUGGGGGUCUAUUCACACUUCCCAUUCAGCUUGGAAUAGGAUUCCUUUUGAGGGAAAACCCGAUAUUUGCCGUUGCCACUGUCGCAACUGUAGUGGGAAUUUGGACUCUUUUUCCAUACGCGAUGGCUGCAUCGACUGCAUUAUUCUUGUAUUUCCGGCGGCAAUACUUCUCGUAGUCAUUGGAAUGCUUGGUAGAAGAAAUACUUAAAGGUUCCUGAUUUGUAUAUGCAGAUAAGUGACAUGUUCAAGUUAAUUCAACCAUUUAUUGAAUCUUUUUCUACUUAUAUACAAAGAGAAAAUCAGUUAUAGAAUUAGGGAACUUGAGUGUUGUACCAGAGUGGCUAGUAGCUCUUAUUCUUUUGUAAAGGUGGAAUAAUUUGAUAAUAAUUCCCUUCUGGAUAUUUGAUUUUAUAUAAAUAUUUCCACUAUUUGGUAAUAAAAU